CCUACGGGAGGCAGCAGUGGGGAAUAUUGCACAAUGGGGGAAACCCUGAUGCAGCGACGCCGCGUGAGCGAGGAAGUAUUUCGGUAUGUAAAGCUCUAUCAGCAGGGACGAAAAAAGACGGUACCUGACUAAGAAGCCCCGGCUAACUACGUGCCAGCAGCCGCGGUAAUACGUAGGGGGCACGCGUUAUCCGGAUUUACUGGGGGGAAAGGGAGCGUAGACGGCAAGGCAAGGCAGAAGGGAAAGGGCCGGGCUUAACCCUGUACAUGCUUUUGGAACUGGGGUGCUAGAGUGCAGGAGAGGUAAGUGGAAUUCGCGGUGUAGCGGUGAAAUGCGUAGAUAGUAGGAGGAACACCAGUGGCGAAGGCGGCUUACUGGACUGUAACUGACGUUGAGGCUCGAAAGCGUGGGGAGCAAACAGGAUUAGAUACCCUGGUAGUC
rnacentral:rRNA from 1 species